rnacentral:rRNA from 1 species
UACGUAGGGUCCGAGCGUUGUCCGGAAUUAUUGGGCGUAAAGGGCUCGUAGGCGGUCUGUUGCGUCGGGAGUGAAAACUUACAGCUUAACUGUGAGCGUGCUUUCGAUACGGGCAGACUUGAGGCAUUCAGGGGAGAACGGAAUUCCUGGUGUAGCGGUGAAAUGCGCAGAUAUCAGGAGGAAUACCGGUGGCGAAGGCGGCAUCCUGGACCGACAUUGACGCUGAGGAGCGAAAGCUAGGGGAGCAAACGGG